rnacentral:rRNA from 1 species
UGCCGCGUGAGUGAUGAAGGCCUUCGGGUUGUAAAGCUCUUUUGGCGGGGACGAUGAUGACGGUACCCGCAGAAUAAGCCCCGGCUAACUUCGUGCCAGCAGCCGCGGUAAGACGAAGGGGGCUAGCGUUGUUCGGAAUUACUGGGCGUAAAGCGAGUGUAGGUGGUUAUCCAAGUUGGAUGUGAAAGCCUUGAGCUCAACUCAAGAAAUGCAUUCAGGACUGGAUGACUAGAGGACCGGAGAGGAUAGUGGAAUUCCCAGUGUAGUGGUGAAAUACGUAUAGAUUGGGAAGAACACCAGUGGCGAAGGCGGCUAUCUGGACGGUUUCUGACACUAAGACUCGAAAGCGUGGGGAGCAAACAGGAUUAAAUACCCUGGUAGUCCACGCCGUAAACGAUGGGUGCUAGACGUUGGCGAGCUUGCUCGUCAGUGUCGCAGCUAACGCGUUAAGCACCCCGCCUGGGGAGUACGGCCGCAAGGUUGAAACUCAAAGGAAUUGACGGGGGCCCGCACAAGCGGUGGAGCAUGUGGUUCAAUUCGACGCAACGCGCAGAACCUUACCAGCCCUUGACAUGUGACUCGCCGGCUCCAGAGACGGAGCCUUCGGUUCGGCCGGAGUCAACAC